GGGGAUUUAGCUCAGUGGCACAGCACCUGCCUGGCAAGCGUGAGGUCCUGAGUUCAAUUCCCAGUACCCA
rnacentral:tRNA from 1 species